CCUACGGGAGGCAGCAGUAGGGAAUCUUCCACAAUGGACGAAAGUCUGAUGGAGCAACGCCGCGUGAGUGAAGAAGGGUUUCGGCUCGUAAAGCUCUGUUGGUAGUGAAGAAAGAUAGAGGUAGUAACUUGCCUUGUUUUGACGUUAAUUACUUAGAUAGUCACGGCUAACUACGUGCCAGCAGCCGCGGUAAUACGUAGGUGGGAAGCGCUGUCCGGAUUUAUUGGGGGUAAAGCGAGUGCGGGCGGUUGAAUAAGUAUGAUGUGAAAGCCUUCGGCGCAACCGGAGAAUUGUAUCAGAAACUGUUGAAAGUGAGGGCAGAAGAGGAGAGUGGAACUCUGUGUGGAGUGGUGGAAUGCGUAGAUAUAUGGAAGAACACCAGUGGCGAAGGCGGCUCUCUGGUCUGCAACUGACGCUGAGGCUCGAAAGCAUGGGUAGCAAACAGGAGGAGAUACCCCUGUAGUC
rnacentral:rRNA from 1 species